rnacentral:rRNA from 1 species
CGGCCGAUAUCAGAUUAGGUAGUUGGUGAGGUAAAGGCUCACCAAGCCAACGAUCUGUAGCUGGUCUGAGAGGACGACCAGCCACACUGGGACUGAGACACGGCCCAGACUCCUACGGGAGGCAGCAGUGGGGAAUUUUGGACAAUGGGCGCAAGCCUGAUCCAGCCAUUCCGCGUGCAGGACGAAGGCCUUCGGGUUGUAAACUGCUUUUGUACGGAACGAAAAGGCUCUGGUUAAUACCUGGGGCUCAGGACGGUACCGUAAGAAUAAGCACCGGCUAACUACGUGCCAGCAGCCGCGGUAAUACGUAGGGUGCAAGCGUUAAUCGGAAUUACUGGGCGUAAAGCGUGCGCAGGCGGUGAUGUAAGACAGAUGUGAAAUGCCCGGGCUCAACCUGGGAACUGCAUAUGUGACUGUAUAGCUAGAGUACGGUAGAGGGGGAUGGAAUUCCGCGUGUAGCAGUGAAAUGCGUAGAUAUGCGGAGGAACACCGAUGGCGAAGGCAAUCCCCUGGGCCUGCACUGACGCUCAUGCACGAAAGCGUGGGGAGCAAACAGGAUUAGAUACCCU